CUGGAUUUUUGCAACAUGUAUUGCUAAGUAACAAUUUGCUGGGAUUGAAAUCAAGCCGGGAGAUACUAUAAAAAUGAACACUAAGGGACAGACCGCAUCUAUUGAGAAAGCCGCCAAAGCGGAGAAACGCAUCUGGAGAGGUCUGACUCCUAUCGAUACCAGCCAUCACCUUUAUUUUAAAGAGGACCAUUAUUUGAUAUUUUUCAGCACUUCACAUCUUGCUGACUCGGGACGCCGAGUUUUUAAUAAGGUCUGGAC